rnacentral:rRNA from 1 species
AUUGAACGCUGGCGGCAGGCCUAACACAUGCAAGUCGAACGAGUGGCGGACGGGUGAGUAAUGCUUGGGAAUCUAGCUUAUGGAGGGGGAUAACUACGGGAAACUGUAGCUAAUACCGCUUACCAUAGGAUGAGCCCAAGUGGGAUUAGGUAGUUGGUGAGGGAAAGGCUCACCAAGCCGACGAUCUCUAGCUGGUCUGAGAGGAUGACCAGCCACACUGGGACUGAGACACGGCCCAGACUCCUCCGGGAGUCAGCAGUGGGGAAUAUGGCGCAAUGGGGGCAACCUGACGCAGCCAUUCCGCGUGUAUGAAGAAGGGCUUCGGGUUGUAAAGUGCUUUCGGUAGCGAAGCGUUAACUACAGAAGAAGCACCGGCUAACUCCGGGCGAGCAGGCGCGGUAAUUC